GAGAGGAAACAGUUGACUGAGAUGGGAGGUGAUGAAGCGCCUUGCUUGCAUGAGAGCCUGAUUGUGAAGGGAGCAGAGCCAGAGGGAAGGAAGAAGAGGGGAAACUAGUUGUAUAUACCUUACCUCAACUGGGAGAGCAGAGGUAGUAUCUCACUUAAGCUUAGAAAAUGUUUAAUGUUGUAGUCUAAGAAGAAGAAAAAAAUCAUGAAGUUCUAAGUUA